GCAACCCUGUGCUCAACACAGACUUUAUUUAAAGGUGGUUCAGAGCGAAGCCUCUGAUGUGAGAUAACCGUCCUACACACGUUGAGGAAGAAGACGGCACUGGAUGACUGGAUCCAGAGUGAAUACCGAAGUUCUUCAUAAACAAGAAAGGAGACCCCUAAACACACAACCACUCCUGCAGUACAAACACAGGUUGUGGCAGGCCGGUAGAUGAUGAAGUGAUGGAGAUGUUAGGAGGCCAUGGCCAUUGUGAUGCUGGGUGGCUGUUAGUCUGGAACUGCCAUCUGCCGAAAGGUUGAGAACUGGACCCGAGUCAUGUAACCUUCAGGACCGUCCUGUGGUUGGUGAGGUAGCGAAGAUCUCUGCCCCUCUCGCUGGAGUCCACAAACUCACGGCUGAACAUCCGGCCAAAGUCUACAUUGUCACUGCAGCCCCCCCAGUGCCAGUCUGGCCCUCCAGGACCUCUGCGACGGUAAUCGCAUGUGCAAGACUCAAUGGCCCCUUCUGAGCAUGAGCGAGCCACAGCGUGGGUCACCCCUGCGCUGGUAAUGGCAAAGAGAAAUGCUGUCUCUCGGCAACCUAAAGAAACAACAUCAAAACUUCCCAUCAGAAACAAUUCCAGCCUUUUACACUCGACUGUGCCAAUUUCUUUGCCUAACAUUUGAAAAUAUUUUGAGACAAAGUGUACAAGAGAUUCCAUUACAUCCUGGCCAAAAUUGUCCAAAUAAUGCUAGUGAGAAAAACAAGAGAGGCUCACCACGAUUGACAAUUUUCCCAAAGACUGCUGGGCUGUGGGUGGUCGGGCAGUUCCAGCGGCGGUUGCGGAACUGCCACUUGCACUCCUUUAUGGCAGUGUGCAGCCCUGCAGCGAUGGCAUGCAAGAUGCCAGGAUUCUGCCGAAUCAGCCGGCGCUGGCGUCGACUCAGGAGGGCAAGGCUUGGGUCCAGGACCAACUGCACAUUCUUGGAAUUGGUCAGGAGGUUGGAUGAGGAGGCCACAUUGACAAUACCCCUGGCACAGCACAAGAAUAAGGGAAAUCAGUGUUAAGGAGCUAGCAGUUUAUGUAGCCUCUUCUGUGACCCUCCAAACUCGUAAAAUGAGUUAUAUACAUGUCAAAUCUGUGUUUUUAAUAUUAAGUUAGACACAAAAGCUGAGGAGAAAUGGCCUGCAUGCACUUUUAGAGAUUCAGAACAUAUUUUAAAAUAUGACCAUCUUGUCAACAAGUACUAAGGCCUUAAUGUAGGCUAUGCUGUAAAUGUAAAAUCCUAUGUUUUUAAGAUUUAAAGCUCAUAUUCUUAAGGUCACAAGUAGUUCUUAUUCUGUUUUUAUAUAUAAAUAUGUUUUUUUGCCCCU